rnacentral:rRNA from 1 species
UACAGAGGGGGCGAGCGUUGUUCGGAAUCAUUGGGCGUAAAGGGCGCGUAGGCGGCCGUCCAAGUCGGGUGUGAAAUCCCUCGGCUCAACCGAGGAACUGCACUCGAUACUGGUCGGCUAGAGUCCGGGAGGGGAUGGUGGAAUUCCCAGUGUAGCGGUGAAAUUCGUAGAUAUCGAGAAGAACACCGGUGGCGAAGGCGGCCAUCUGGACGGUGACUGACGCUGAGACGCGAAAGCGUGGGGAGCAAACAGG